GCCUCUGCUUAUUGUAGCCAUUUUGGGAUCAGCAGUGCCUGUGCCAAGGAGACUAUUUUUUAAUGCAUACCAAACUAUCAGGUCUCCAGGCGAGGCUAGACUUUGGCUCAGUGAGAACAAAUGCCUUACCAUGACAAAGGUUUAUUUCUCACUGACACAGAAUCUAAUAAAGAGCUGGGCAACCCUUUAGGGCAGCUAUUUUCCAUGUAGUAACUGAGUGAUUUAGGCUGAGGAAGCUUUCAUAGUCCUGUAGCUGUCCCAUCAGGAGCAGGAAACCUCCCUGAUUAAUGCAGGAGGCUUAAAGAGACACUCACCAGAUAGAGGACUUAAUGGUUACUCGCUAGCUCUCCUCUGCUUCCAAGUGCAGGUGGUCAGAGCCAUGGCUCCACUCAACUGGAAGAGGGCCCAAAGGUGCAGAGAGCUCUUUCAUGUGUGUGAAAGGGGAGAAGAAGAGAUUUUGGUGAACACUAGUAAUAUCUACGUUACAGAUCACAGGUUUACAGGUUUACAGUCCUCUCCCCAGGGUCACACCCACUCCACUCCAUGACAAACUGUCUCCAGAACUCCAGUCUAGGCCAGUCUUCUCACUCCACUACACCUGCUUACUAGAGAGGCAAGUUCAAAUUCUAGGCUUAUUACUGCACUUUUGUAUAAAGUCCUUUUUUUAAAAAAUGCAAAACUUCGUAUCUGUUAACACUGGUUUAUGGAUAAACUUCUUUUUGCCUACAGAUGGAUUUCUGAUCAAGUGGUCCAUCAUUGGCAAUUCUUGGCAAUCUGACCACAAGGAAUGGCCUAUAGCUAGAUUCUGCAGCUGAGCCGGGAUCUGCCUCUCCUUAACAUAUUUGGUAUAAAAUAACAAAAAGUCAUCUAGAAUAAUGAAAAGAAAUUUUGUGAACAAAAGGCCAUGAAGUGUUGCCCAUAAUAUAGACAGUGUGGGAAGAGAAACUUUGGUUGAGGCAAAAUCAAUAUUCUCCUGCUAGCUUCUUUCUGUCAACCUCUCCCACUGUCUCCCAAUUAUAUGCCAUCAUCUCCCCCAUUCACCUUCCCUUCUACUGGCCUGAAUAAGUGUGAAUAGUCACUGUUUAUGCCAUAAAUAUCAGCCUAUUUGGAUAUUUCUUUGUUAGUUAACAAAGAUCUUCUUCGCUUCCCACUCAUAGUGCUGUUUAUCGAAUAGUUCUGUCAACAAAAUUUUAGAAUAGAUGGAGUGCAAAAUGCUUCAAAACAUUCUCGUUACUGCAGAAACUUUACAAGAAAAAAAACUGAAGUGGUUAAAAGACUUAUAAGUAGUUUCAUAGACACUCCACCACAGAAGAUGGCCAAUAAGCACAGAAAAAGAUGCUCCAGACUAUCAGUCAUCAGGGAAAGGCAAAUUGAAACCAUAAUGAGAUACUACCACACUCCCUCUAGAAUGGCUAAACUUUUUUAACUGACCAUAUCAAGUGUUGGUGAGAGUGUGGAACAACUAGACUCUCUUGCACUCCUGGUGGUAAUGUAAAAUGGUAUAGCUACUUUGAAAAACAAGUAGGCAUCUUCUUGGAAAGUUAAAAAUACACCUAUUGUUUGAUGAGAUCCAGCCAUUCCACUUCUAGGUAUUUAUCCCAAGAAAAAUGAAAACAUAUGUCUACAAGGAGACUUGUACAUGGAUAUUUAUAGAGCUUUCUUUGUAAUAGUUAAAAACUGGAAACCACUCAAAUGUCCAUCAGCAACAAACGGAUAAGCACCCUGAGGAAUAUCCAUAUAACGGAAUACUACUCAGCAAUGAAAAGGAUGAAUCUCAAAAUAAUUAUACUGAGAGAAAGAAGCCAGACCAAAAAAAGAGUAUGUAUUGUAUGAUUCCAUUUAAAUAAAACUCUAGAAAAUUCAAACUAAUCCCUAUGG
rnacentral:lncRNA from 1 species